rnacentral:misc_RNA from 1 species
GUUGCCGUCGAUGUCUACGGCUCGUCUGAAAUGCUUCAGUGUACCCCGCUUUGCGGCGUAUUCGGUGUGAUACAUCUUCACCGGAGUUGAUCCUUUUGGGGGUCGCGUCUGUAAUGUGUGGCUCUAUGCUUCCAACCGUCUCUCGAGACAAUCUCUGACAAUUUGACCUCAAAUCGGGUGGGACUACCCGCUGAACUUAA